rnacentral:rRNA from 1 species
GAUGAACGCUGGCGGCGUGCCUAAUACAUGCAAGUCGAGCGAACAGACGAGGAGUUUGCUCCUCUGACGUUAGCGGCGGACGGGUGAGUAACACGUGGAUAACCUACCUAUAAGACUGGGAUAACUUCGGGAAACCGGAGCUAAUACCGGAUAAUAUCUUGAACCGCAUGGUUCAAUAGUGAAAGACGGUUUUGCUGUCACUUAUAGAUGGAUCCGCGCCGCAUUAGCUAGUUGGUAAGGUAACGGCUUACCAAGGCAACGAUGCGUAGCCGACCUGAGAGGGUGAACGGCCACACUGGAACUGAGACACGGUCCAGACUCCUACGGGAGGCAGCAGUAGGGAAUCUUCCGCAAUGGGCGAAAGCCUGACGGAGCAACGCCGCGUGAGUGAUGAAGGGCUUCGGAUCGUAAAACUCUGUUAGUAGGGAAGAACAAAUGUGUAAGUAACGAUGCACGUCUUGACGGUACCUAAUCAGAAAGCCACGGCUAACUACGUG